rnacentral:rRNA from 1 species
UCGAGAAUAUUCGACAAUGGGCGAAAGCCUGAUCGAGCGACGCCGCGUGCAGGAUGAAGGCCCUCGGGUUGUAAACUGCGGUAGUAGGGGAGGAACGCAAGUGACUGUACCCUACGGAAAGUGGUUGGUAACUACGUGCCAGCACCAGCGGUAAUACGUAGACCACAAGCGUUAUCCGGAUUUAUUGGGCGUAAAGAGCAUGUAGGAGGUCCGGUGCGUCUCUGGUUAAAGCCCACCGCCUAACGGUGGAAGUGCCAGAGAUACGAUCGGACUGGAGGAUGUGAGAGGUGCAUGGAACUCACGGUGUAGGGGUGAAAUCCGUUGAUAUCGUGGGGAACACCAAAGGCGAAGGCAGUGCACUGGUACAUUCCUGACUCUGAGAUGCGAAAGCGUGGGGAGCAAAAAGGAUUAGAUACCCACGUAGUCCCUGAGCGGGCUGGCAAGGCGCAU